CUGCCCGUCGCCCGCUGGGGACGGGGGUGAAACCUGAGGUGUGGUGUGCUUGGCUAGAGGGGGUUAUGCGAAGGGUCCUGUCACGGCCUCUUUCCGGUAUGUCGUGGUGGCAUGUCGGCGCACGGGAACGUGUCGUGGGGCUGUGUCUUGUGGGUACAGUUGUACACCUCUGAUCAGAGUAAAACUAUUCGAAUAGCCGUGCCCGCGGUUAUGGGCGGGUCUAACAAUGUCUUUCGUGAUUAGUCUCACACCUCUCACAAUAAUUAU
rnacentral:misc_RNA from 1 species